UCUAGAUGUGCUAAGAAAUCCACAUGGCUGAUGUGCUCAAGUGCCCGUGUCAUGACUUCAGGGGAAAAACAAACAAAUAAAACAAACAACAACAAGAAGAAAGCUAAAUCUACCUAAGGUACAGCAGUGCAAAUCAUCCCAACCAAACAUCCAAACCAAACACCUCCAGAAUUUUUGUUUCCCUAACAGCAAUAUUAAAUACACCUGAGAUAAGUUGCAACUAAAGAGAUAAAUAGGAAAAAAAAAAAAAAAGGAAAAAAAAGAUAAAAAAAACGAUAAGGCUGACAAACUUUUCUCUGUUUUAGCUGAAGUGGCAGUAGAAAAGAUCUUGCCUGUGGAAGGAAAGGAAGGUGAGCUACAGAGCUGCUGAGUGCAAAGGAGGUGAUAUAACUGGGCAAGGGCAAAACCAAGGGUCAAACUGGAGUCAGAAGCUUUGGAGGGAUCUCUUAAAACCAGAGAAGAGGCAAGGGAGUAUGGAAGUGAAGAUUCUUCCCUUCCCACCUCUGCAAUGAGAGAUGGCAAUCCUUCCUAGAUAUGGCAGGCUGGAAGAUAUUGGAUCAUAAAAUCAUGACACUGGAAAGCAAUCUGCUGUCUUCCAGUUAAUAACCACACUUGUGUUUACAAGACAACUGCUUUUACAAAACUGAAGAUCAUCAGAUGGGAACACUAACAACUUCAAUUUUAAAGUCCACUUCUGACCUAACAAGAAGCGUGGGAUACUUCAUUACAGAGGAUAUUCUACUGAAAUAUGAAACACACAUGAAAUCAUGAGCACUUAAGGAAAGAGCUUUGUGGCCACAGCUAUCAUAUGAUAUUAAAACUGCAGCAUGACAGUAGUUGUUGUAAAUAAAUACAUAUUACAACAAGUAAAAAAAAGUGCAAUUACAAUUUCACAAUAUUUAUUUCUGCGAUCAAAUUUACAUACGAACUGCAAAGUAUGAGAAAUAUGAACCUUUGCAUAUACUCCCACAGACUGUGCAGAUAUAUCCACACAUUUAUGUGUACAGUUAUUAUAUUAAAAGACUGUUACACUUAUAAAAUAUUUUAGAGAAUAAUUUAUGUGGACAGGUUUAGAUAUUCAUUCUUACUCAGAAUGAUAAGCAAGCAGGCUGAAUAUAUUUGAAAAUGUAGUAAAUCAAGUUUUGGUCUUGCUAACACUAAUACACAUUCAUUUAGAUAAAUCUGAUGAGAAUUUUACCCAACCAAUAUAUCUUUAAAAGCUAAUCAAGUGAAUCUCUUUAAUAGCAUCAAGCCUCAUUUGGAAAGUUCACAAUCCAUAAUUAUCUGCUUCUUUGAAAAUGUUUGCUAAAAUUGUAGUUUUGGAACAGAUUAAAGUUCAAAUCUUACAUGUACAUGAAAUAAUUCAUUUGCCCAAACACCCCAAUUUUAGACAUUACUUGCAAAUGAAAAUUACAUCCCACAUGAUUUUAGUAUUAGCUUUUAUAUGAGCACUAAAUAUAAAAUGGUAGUCUGACCUUUAAGAAAAACUGUAUCUAAUAACAAAAUUAAAGAACAGGUUUAAAGAUUUGGUCACUAGUCUUUAUAAAAGGGAAAAAAGAAAACAAAAUCCCUUGCAGUCACAUUCUAUCAUUCUCUUUCAACUAUUCUUUUAGGUUUCUUUCCACUAUAUUUAAUUUUAUUUCAUUAUAUGCAGGAAGGCUAAUAACCAACCAUUUUGAUUCUGUUCAUUUUCCCCCAUUUAGACCAUUUUUCUUACCCUGAUUCAUUUUGUAACCAAAUUCAUUUUAAUUUAAUUUGUUUCAUUAAAGCUAAGGUUUUCCAAUUUUUGAAAUGUAAGAGAGACUAAACAGAGUUACUUUAUCUUGCUAGGUCCAAAGGUCUUGCAUAAUACUCAGAUUUCAAUAGUAGUAUGUAAAUAGCAUGUAUUUUUUUCUCUUGUGGAAAAAGGUGAAUUGGAUUAUUCCAUCAAAUUUUACAUUUUCUAACAAUACUGAUCUUUUCAAAAUCCUGUUUCCGUAAGUGUCAUUUUCCCCUAUGCUCCAGAGAAACUGUCAAAAAAUUAUGGGAAACAAAACCAAAACACUUCUUUCACCAGAAAAUUUUCAUAAAGAAAAUAUCAGAAUGAGAUUGAAGUUCUGAAUCAACAUAUUUCAGGGUUUUACUUAUUUUCUUCUUAUUUGGAUGUGAGUAAUGACGUAGAGAUAGAGAAUUUAUUAUUCUUAGACUCCUGUCUUACCUGGACAAGUUGUUCCUUGAGUAUUUUUUUAUGUUAUAUGACACAUUAGUAUUUCACUACAUUGCCAUCUUCAUUCUUCUCAGAAGCUCAGAGGAAGAGAAAAGAAGCACUCUCAUUUCUCUUCUCCUUUUCUGCAGAUAUUUCUGCAGAUAUAGGCUUGAUAUUUUAGCAACGAGGACCUUAACUUUGCUUCUGAUGACUGCUGGCAAAAGACCCUAGAUAAACAUGCAUAAUAGUCAGCCAGACAGAAAAAUAACCAUUGUGGGCAACAAAAUAAUAGGUGGAACAAAAAAAGGAUUGGGGUUAGCCAUAGCUCUGGUCAUCUGCCUGCUACAUGCAUUGGUUUCUUAAAUGCCCAAAAAAGGUGGUGUCAAAAUUUUAAUUUAGAUUAAGAACAUGACUUAGUAAGUGUAACAGAUUUAGAGAAAUGAUUCACAUGAAAAGGAUGUAACAUCAAAUGCUGCAAACUAUUGGGGAAGGAUAGUGUUAAAAGAGAGAAGCUAUUCCCCACUGUAUCAAGGAUGUGAUUUCAUUCUGAAGUCCAAUAUGCAGAGGAAUUUAGAAGUGAAGAAAGCCUGAGUAAUAACAAAAAGAAGGCACUAAUGCAGCUGGCAAUGUGCUGGGGAUCUACUAUAAACCUUGGAACAGGAAUUAGCUGAACAAGGCUUACUGGUUCUUUCCAACACAGCAUAGUAAUGUUAAUUAAGAAACUGCAUCUUUGGGUUGUGUAACUACAGAACCAGUCUCAAGAUAAAUAGAUACCUUAUUUAUUUAGCUCUCUAUGUUGUUAAAUUAUUUAAUGAACCUUAUUAUUGGUGUUAGAUGAAUAUGAAUUAAUAUACAUUGUAUUCUUGUGACUUUAUAAAUGUGGCAUAUGUUCAAAGCAUGUUCAAUCUAAAGCAUUGCUUCUUUUAGGGCAGCAGACCCCAGUAUGUGGAUGACUGACUUACAUUUAUUUACUAAAUCUACUAGAUAGGGAUUUUUCUUGCCUUAAUACUGAAGUACACAACUCCCAUUUCCCUGACAAACAGUCUCUGAUACUUCAAAAACCUUAGGACUGCCUGACUCAUUCUCUUCUUGUUAAAAGAGACUUAACUACAGGGGCAUCUGCCAGAAGACAAAAUAAGGAAUAGAAUCUAUCUAGCAAGUUCUUGUUACUCAUCAGUGGCAACUUGAUAUUAAAAAACAAACAAACAAAAACAAAAGAAAAAACAGAGAAAAACAAUCUAGUUGAAAAGAGCUGGUUUAGGACAUGAAGGUGAGGGCAAGACAGAGGUGAGACCCUUGGAUAGGAGAUAAAAAAAUAACAAAACAGCAGAUAUCAUCAAGGAACAUCCAGAGAAUGCAAAUGAAAAUAAUCUCCUUCAAAGAUAAAAGAUAUGGAACAAUGGUCAUACUGUUGAAUAGAUUACAAAACUGAACAAGCAUCAAGAAGGUGAUGCUAUAAUAAACAAACAAAUAAAUAAGGAGUACUGUCUGUGGAAAACAUAAAAUAAUGCGUAGGGUUUACUACAGAAGAUUCUAAGACAUUGGUCAGUCAUAUAUAAGAAUACUGUGUUCAGCCUGGGGAAUCCCAGUUUGGGAGAGGCAUAGAUUGAAGAGAAAAAUAAGAGGAGGAAUAGAGGAAUAAGAAUGAAGACAUGCAGAAAAAGUGUAAUCUCAGAUGAGAGACCAAAAAAACCAAUAAAAAUAAACUUGAUCUAACUUGAUCUACGUAGGAAUAGACUGAAGGGAAUCAGGAAAAGCCAUCAUAACAGCUUUCAUCAUAAAAGCUCCUCCAAAGAAAAAGUGUUACCUGUGGCCUUCCUGAAUGGUCCUUUAGAGAUAUGAGGUUUUCCAUGUCUAUGACAGAUAGAACAGGAUUAAACUAUAGCAAAGGUAAUUCAGAUUACAUAAAUAAAAAGUCAUCAUAGCAGUAAAACCCUUGCAUUCAUUUCUUGGAAAUAUCAUAACAAUGCUAGAGGAAUA
ensembl:lncRNA